CCGAAGCCCCCUGGUGUGCAUCGUACAGCAAGAGUUCCAUAAAAAUGAGGAGCAAGGUUCAGUGACCCGCACAUUUUCUCCCAGUUCUGAAACUAGCUGCUUAGCCUGGAAACCAGAUCCUCAAACCGAGAGUAAGGAAGCCUGCCACACACUAGAGAUCUGAGCAGGAUGUGAAAAUCCCAGUCCCGGACCACAGGAAGUUUAGCUCACACAAGGUGGCUGCAGAUGACAUCUGACAUUAUGAUGAUGGCCACAACACCUACCUGUUGAGAAGAGUCGUGCCAAAUCUGUGACAUCAGCGACAUCCUACUUACUAAUCAAUGCCCUGCCGCCAACAGCCUUUCAUAAUUGCAACAGGCAUUUCUGUUCAACAACUGCUUCUUCUCAGUGAACCAGAAUCCUUCUCAACCCAGUUUGUAAACAGUUCUGGUAACUUCAUGACGAUCAACUCGUGAGAUGUUGCCCUGGUCUUAAUAGAUCAUGAGUUAGCUCCUGAAGUAUAUCCUACUUACUAGCCUGGGCCCUCCUGUGUCAAUUAUCAAUCAAGAAAAUGCCCCAUGGUUGUCCCUACAAGUCAGUCUGAUGGAUACAAUUCUCAGUUAAGGUUUCUUCUUCCCCAGUGUGUCAGGUUGACAACAAAGAUUAGUUAUGACAAUUUAGAAUUCUCCUACCACGGCUUACUUGGUCACUAGGAUUCCAGGUUUAGCUUAACCAAAAUUUCAGUGUGUUGCCUUUGCUUUUCCUGCUAGUUUUAUGCAAAAAUAGUCUUUCUUCAGUAUUCUUAGGGGCUUGGGGUUGAGAUCCCUGAAGUUGGCCAAAUCUGGAGAUUCUCAGUCCCUUCUAUAAAACUGCAUUGUGUUUGCGUUUGGCCUAUACAUAUCCCCCUCUAUCCUGGAGCUUAUCCCUAGGUUACUUGUAAUACUAGAUAUGAUGUAAUUGCUUUGUAAAUAGCUGCUAUGUUGUAAUUUAGAGA